UACGUACUAAUUUAUUGGUUUCUUCCUUCUGACGAACCAUGAUGUCAUUAAUUUGGUGUCUUGGGGAAUCAGGACUGUUACUUUGAAAAAAUUAGAGUGUUUAAAGCAGGCUCACGCUUGAAUACAUUAGCAUGGAAUAAUGAAAUAGGACGUUUGAUUCUAUUUUGUUGGUUUCUAGGAUCGACGUAAUGAUUAAUAGGGAUAGUUGGGGGCAUUAGUAUUCAAUUGUCAGAGGUGAAAUUCUUGGAUUUAUUGAAGACUAACUACUGCGAAAGCAUUUGCCAAGGACGUUUUCAUUAAUCAAGAACGAAAGUUAGGGGAUCGAAGACGAUCAGAUACCGUCGUAGUCUUAACCAUAAACUAUGCCGACUAGGGAUCGGAUGAUGUUAAUUUUUUAAUGACUCAUUCGGCGCCUUACG
rnacentral:rRNA from 1 species